rnacentral:lncRNA from 1 species
UCUUUAACUUAAUCGUUUUAUUUUGGUUUAGACCGUUAGGUGAAAAAUUUAUUAGAAAUAGUUAUUAGACAGUUGACUCAAACCAACACUACUAGCACAAAUUAAUUAUGACAUACCUCAAAGUUUGCUAAUUCCCCUUUCUCUCUUUCUCCGUCAAUUUGUUUUCCUCUUUCCAUGAUCUGAUGUAUAAAAAAACACAUAAAACUUUAUCAGGAGAAAGAAGUAAGAAUACAAAGAAACUGAAGAAAGAAGCAUAAAAAGUCAUAGCAGAAAACAUUUUUGCAGAUAUAGCCAUGCAUAAAAAGUAGUAAUUAUUUUUUGAAGAAUAUUUUCCCAUCCGACUACCAAAAUUAAACAAACUUUUCUUAAGUUAUUAGAGAUAAAUUGACUAACCUUUUUAGUUGAUGUUGAAGAUGAAAAAUCUGAGAAAUGGCUUUAGAAUGAGGCAACAGAAAGUAUGGAAUAGUUGCUACUUUCUGUUUUUGUGUAUGUAUGAAUUC